rnacentral:rRNA from 1 species
CCUACGAGAGGCAGCAGUGAGGAAUCUUGGUCAAUGGUCGAUAGCCUGAACCAGCCAAGUAGCGUGAAGGAUGACUGUACUAUGGGUGGUAACCUUCUUUUAUAUGGGAAUAAAGUGUAGUAUGUAUACUGCUUUGAAUGUACCUUAUGAAUCAGCAUCGGCUAAAUCCGUGCCAGCCGCCGCGGUAUUACGGAGGAUCCGAGCGUUAUCCGGAUUUAUUGGGUUUAAAGGGAGAGUAGGCGGGUUGUCAAGUCAGUUGUGAAAGUCUGGGGCUCAACCGUGAAAUUGCAGUUGAUACUGGCAUCCUUGAGUACAGGAGAGGUAUGCGGAAUUCGUGGUGUAGCGGUGAAAUGCUUAGAUAUCACGAAGAACUCCGAUUGCGAAGGCAGCCUGCUGGACUGUAACUGACGCUGAGGCUCGAAAGUGUGGGUAUCAAACAGGAUUAGAUACCCCAGUAGUC